GGGGACAAAGUGACAGGUGGUGCAUGGUUGUUGUCAGCUCGUNUCGUGAGAUGUUGGGUUAAGUCCCGCAANGAGCGCAACCNUUAUUGUUAGUUGCCAUCAUUCAGUUGGGCACUCUAGNGAGACUGCCGGUGACAAACCGGAGGAAGGUGGGGAUGACGUCAAAUCAUCAUGCCCCUUAUGACCUGGGCUACACACGUGCUACAAUGGACGGUACAAUGAGUCGCGAGACCGCGAGGUUUAGCUAAUCUCUUAAAGCCGUUCUCAGUUCGGAUUGUAGGCUGCAACUCGCCUACAUGAAGCCGGAAUCGCUAGUAAUCGUGGAUCAGCACGCCACGGUGAAUACGUUCCCGGGCCUUGUACACACCGCCCGUCACACCACGAGAGUUUGUAACACCCAAAGUCGGUGAGGUAACCUUUUGGAGCCAGCCGCCUAAGGUGGGAUAGAUGAUUGGGGUGAAGUCGUAACAAGGUAACCAAGGGCGAAUUCGCGGCC
rnacentral:rRNA from 1 species